rnacentral:rRNA from 1 species
GACGAACGCUGGCGGCGCGCUUAACACAUGCAAGUCGAACGGAAAGGCCUACUUUCCCUUGUGGAUUGCGGGUACUCGAGUGGCGAACGGGUGAGUAACACGUGAGUGAUCUGCCCCCAACUUGGGUAUAAGCCUGGGAAACUGGGUCUAAUUCCCGAUAGGACUGCAGGGUGGUGCCUGUGGUGGAAAACGAUUUUCUAGUGGUUGGGGAUGAGCUCGCGGCCUAUCAGCUUGUUGGUGGGGUAAUGGCCUACCAAGGCGGCGACGGGUAGCCGGCCUGAGAGGGUGGACGGCCACAUUGGGACUGAGAUACGGCCCAGACUCCUACGGGAGGCAGCAGUGGGGAAUAUUGCACAAUGGGCGGAAGCCUGAUGCAGCGACGCCGCGUGGGGGAUGACGGCCUUCGGGUUGUAAACUCCUUUCGACCGCGAGGAAGCCACCUGGUUGGAAGGGUGGUGACGGUAGUGGUAGAAGAAGCACCGGCUAACUACGUG